rnacentral:rRNA from 1 species
GACGAACGCUGGCGGCGUGCUUAACACAUGCAAGUCGAACGGAAAGGCCCUGCUUUUGUGGGGUGCUCGAGUGGCGAACGGGUGAGUAACACGUGAGUAACCUGCCCUUGACUUUGGGAUAACUUCAGGAAACUGGGGCUAAUACCGGAUAGGAGCUCCUGCUGCAUGGUGGGGGUUGGAAAGUUUCGGCGGUUGGGGAUGGACUCGCGGCUUAUCAGCUUGUUGGUGGGGUAGUGGCUUACCAAGGCUUUGACGGGUAGCCGGCCUGAGAGGGUGACCGGCCACAUUGGGACUGAGAUACGGCCCAGACUCCUACGGGAGGCAGCAGUGGGGAAUAUUGCACAAUGGGCGGAAGCCUGAUGCAGCAAAGCCGCGUGCGGGAUGACGGCCUUCGGGUUGUAAACCGCUUUCGCCUGUGACGAAGCGUGAGUGACGGUAAUGGGUAAAGAAGCACCGGCUAACUACGUG